AUGGAAAGGAAGAGUGGAAUGAUACUGGAUGAACAUGUUCUGAAAGCUAAUGAUCGCAAGAGGAAACAUGAGUCGUCUGUGAAGAGUACUGGCACAGAUUAUUUUGCUGAGGUCUCUCAGCAUGCUGAUGGUUCUGCUGUCCUUAAGAAGUCUAAAAUGACCUCCUCUGCUGGUGAUAUUCUGGAGUGCUAUAAGAACUUCAAGACAAGCGGUUUGCCCAUGCGGGUGCUUUGUUACCACCAGGGUAAAUGGAGGGACUUUCCAGAGCAUGUUGUGAAUCUGGUACAGCAGGACUUCCAGUUGAAGAGGCCAAUUACUAAUGCUGUAUUGAAGAACCAGCAAGUCCUGUUGGACUUUAUGCACAUGGUCUGCAUUGAUUCUUCCAUGACCACAAACAAGCCAAUAGCAUGGAUUGAUGUUCAUGGUAACCGCUUUUUUCCAGAGUUAUGUGCUGGACUGGUAGCAUCUAAACCAUCUCAGCAUGGGAAAAGUGACCCCAGUGGUAAAUCUGAAGCUGGUGAGUGUGCUGGGAAUUUGAUUUUGACAGCUGGAGCUGAAAGCUCGAGUUCAGAUUCUGUUGAUGCAGUACUCCCUCAUGCUAAGAAGGUUAAUAACAUACUGGAGGAAGAACACGAGGUACAUAAUUAUGCUGCUGUUGAAAAUAAAGCUGGUCCUGCAAUCUGUUUGGAUGAACCUGCUAGUGGAAACAUACAUGCUGCUACUUGUAAGCAGAAAAUUGGCCAACCUGUUGAUUCAGCUGUGCGCAAAUUAUUACUUGAAGGGGCAGGCCAACCUUUUAGUGAAGAAAAUAUUAUUGGCAUCUACAGAACUCCACUGGUAGAUCAGCAUGGGCGGGCUCGCUUCAAUCUUUUCCAGAAGGAACUUGAAGCCACCAAAAUGCGUCGUGGGAACGCAAAUGUGCGCUACGCAUGGCUACCUUGUUCCAAGGAUACCAUGGAGGAGAUGAUGAUGCGUGGUGUUCUGGAAGUUACAAAACCCAUGCUGGGGCCAAUGUAUGGCAUUGGUACACAUCUUGCUCCAGCGAACUGCGCCAAAACUUGUGCUAGCUACUCAGAUAUUGACGAAAAUGGCAUCAUGAGGAUGAUGCUGUGCCGUGUCAUAAUGGGGAAUGUUGAGGUUGUACUUCCUGGAUCAAAGCAAUUCCAGCCAACUAAUGGAACAUUUGAUAGUGGCGUGGAUGAUCUUCAAAAGCCAAAGCACUAUGUCAUAUGGGAUGCUAAUGUGCAUAGACACAUCUAUGCUGAAUAUGCUGUUGUUAUCAAAGCACCUUCCAUGACCAAUGAAUACUUGGCUGGAGAAGAUACUGCAUCCAACGUAUCUGAGAUAAGAAAUUCUGGUUCAGCAGAAAGUGUAAUCAAGGACGAUAGUUCCGAAACCUUGGCAUCCCCAGCUGAUAAACAACAAGCACCCAGGUUUGGGCGUGCUCCAACUAGAAGGCCUCCUACUUCACCCUGGAUGCCCCUCCCAAUGCUUUUCGCUGCCAUCUCCACAAAAGUUCCUCGUUCUGACAUGGACGUAAUCCAUGGACACUAUGAAGAAUUCAAGAGGAGAAAGAUAAGCAGGCCCGAGUUUGUGAGACGGCUAAGACAGAUCGUCGGCGACAAGCUGCUGGUUUCUACAGUAGUGAGGCUGCAACCUAAGGUAGUGGCACCCAUGGCAGGUGCUGAAGUGCUACCAAGAGGAGCACCCGGCACGGGAGGGAGCAGCACCUCCUGA
rnacentral:rRNA from 1 species